GACGAACGCUGGCGGCGUGCUUAACACAUGCAAGUCGAACGGAAAGGCCCUGCUUUUGUGGGGUGCUCGAGUGGCGAACGGGUGAGUAACACGUGAGUAACCUGCCCUUGACUUUGGGAUAACUUCAGGAAACUGGGGCUAAUACCGGAUAGGAGCUCCUGCUGCAUGGUGGGGGUUGGAAAGUUUCGGCGGUUGGGGAUGGACUCGCGGCUUAUCAGCUUGUUGGUGGGGUAGUGGCUUACCAAGGCUUUGACGGGUAGCCGGCCUGAGGGGGUGACCGGCCACAUUGGGACUGAGAGACGGCCCAGACUCCUACGGGAGGCAGCAGUGGGGAAUAUUGCACAAUGGGCGGAAGCCUGAUGCAGCAACGCCGCGUGCGGGAUGACUGCCUUCGGGUUGUAAACCGCUUUCGCCUGUGACGAAGCGUGAGUGACGGUAAUGGGUAAAGAAGCACCGGCUAACUACGUG
rnacentral:rRNA from 1 species